ACCUGUGGGUAGGGGUGAAAAGCCAAUCGAACUCGGAGAUAGCUGGUUCUCCUCGAAAUAGCUUUAGGGCUAGCCUCGAGAAAGUGAAGUGGAGGUAGAGCACUGAUUGGUCUAGGGGCGCAUAGCGUUACCAAAACCUAUCAAACUCCGAAUGCCAAAUUCAUAAUUCUCGGGAGUCAGACUACGUGGGAUAAGCUUCGUAGUCGAAAGGGAAAGAGCCCAGACCACCAGCUAAGGUCCCUAAAUCCAAAUUAAGUGGCAAAGGAUGUAAGGUUACACAGACAACCAGGAUGUUGGCUUAGAAGCAGCCAUACAUUUAAAGAGUGCGUAAUAGCUCACUGGUCGAGUGACCUUGCGCCGAAGAUUUCCGGGGCUUAAAUUUGGUACCGAAGCUGUGGAUUGCCGUGAGUUUAAUACAAUUUUCAAGGAAAGGCCAAAGAUGAGGAAAUCUUUGCCGAAAACGACCUUAAUACAUUAAAGUUAAAGUUUUCGGCCAGAUUAAUCAGCUAAAAUUGGUACCUGCUUGAGAGCUGUAUUAAGCUCACGGCAGUGGUAGAGGAGCGUUCUGUAUGGGUAGAAGCCAUACCGAAAGGAGUGGUGGACUAUACAGAAGUGAGAAUGCUGGCAUGAGUAGCGAGAAGGUAAGUGAGAAUCUUACCCGUCGAAAGCCUAAGGAUUCCUGAGGAAGGCUCGUCCACUCAGGGUUAGUCGGGACCUAAGCUGAGGCUGAAAAGCGUAGGCGAUGGGCAACAGGUUGAUAUUCCUGUACUAUCGAUAAGCGUUAGAGAGAAGGGGUGACGCAGGAGGAUAAGCUGAGCGUGCCGUUGGUAGCGCACGUCCAAGCUGGUAGGGAGUGAUGAUAGGCAAAUCCGUCAUCACAAUCCUGAGAAGCGAAGGGGAGCGAAAAACAAGUAGUGAAGCAGCCGACUCCACACUGCCAAGAAAAGCCUCUAUCGAGUUUAUUGAUACCCGUACCGCAAACCGACACAGGUAGGCGAGGAGAGAAUCCUAAGACGCGCGGAAGAACCUUUGUUAAGGAACUAGGCAAAAUAGCCCCGUAACUUCGGGAGAAGGGGUGCCGGUCAUAGUUAGAUAAAUACUUAUCAAAGCUAUAGCCGGCCGCAGUGAAUAGGCCCAAGCGACUGUUUACCAAAAACACAAGUCUCUGCUAAGUCGAAAGACGAAGUAUAGGGGCUGACACCUGCCCGGUGCUGGAAGGUUAAGGGGAAGAGUUAGCAAUAGCGAAGCUUCGAACUUAAGCCCCAGUAAACGGCGGCCGUAACUAUAACGGUCCUAAGGUAGCGAAAUUCCUUGUCGGGUAAGUUCCGACCCGCACGAAAGGUGUAACGACUUGGGCGCUGUCUCAACAAAGGAUCCGGUGAAAUUGUAUUACACGUGAAGAUGCGUGUUACCCGCGACAGGACGGAAAGACCCCGUGGAGCUUUACUGCAGGCUGACAUUGGAUUUUGGUAUUACAUGUACAGAAUAGGUGGGAGGCAGAGAAUCUAGGGCGCCAGUCUUAGAGGAGCCAAACUUGGGAUACCACUCUUGUAAUGCUGAAAUUCUAACCAGAGGCUUUGAAACAAGUCAUGGGACACUGUCAGUUGGGCAGUUUGACUGGGGCGGUCGCCUCCUAAAAGGUAACGGAGGCGCUCAAAGGUUCCCUCAGCACGGUCGGAAAUCGUGCAAAGAGUGUAAAGGCAAAAGGGAGCUUAACUGUAACACCAACAAGUGGCGCAGUAACGAAAGUUGGACUUAGUGAUCCGGUGGUUCCGAGUGGAAGGGCCAUCGCUCAACGGAUAAAAGCUACCCCGGGGAUAACAGGCUUAUCUCCCCCAAGAGUCCACAUCGACGGGGAGGUUUGGCACCUCGAUGUCGGCUCGUCUCAUCCUGGGGCUGGAGUAGGUCCCAAGGGUUGGGCUGUUCGCCCAUUAAAGAGGCACGCGAGCUGGGUUCAGAACGUCGUGAGACAGUUCGGUCCCUAUCCGUCGUGGGCGUAGGAAAUUUGAGAGGAGCUAUCCUUAGUACGAGAGGACCGGGAUGGACAGACCGCUGGUGCAUCAGUUGUUUCGCCAGAGGCACAGCUGAGUAGCUAUGUCUGGAAGGGAUAAGUGCUGAAGGCAUCUAAGCACGAAGCCCCCCUCAAGAUAAGAUUUCCCACCUAAAAAGGUUAAGACUCCAAGUAGACCACUUGGUAGAUAGGCCUAGAGUGUAAGAGUAGCAAUACUUUUAGCUAAUAGGUACUAAUAAGUCGAGGGCUUGACCAG
rnacentral:rRNA from 1 species